rnacentral:rRNA from 1 species
CAAUAGCGUAUAUUUAAGUUGUUGCAGUUAAAAAGCUCGUAGUUGGAUUUCGGAUGGGACUUGCCGGUCCGUCGUUUCGAUGUGCACUGGCCAGUCCUAUCUUGUUGUCGGGGACUAGCUCCUUGGAUUCACUUCCUGGGACUAGGAGCUGACGAGGUUACUUUGAGUAAAUUAGAGUGUUCAAAGCAAGCCUACGCUCUGAAUACAUUAGCAUGGAAUAACACGAUAGGACUCUGGCUUAUCUUGUUGGUCUGUGAGACCAGAGUAAUGAUUAAGAGGGACAGUCGGGGACAUUCGUAUUUCAUUGUCAGAGGUGAAAUUCUUGGAUUUAUGAAAGACGAACUUCUGCGAAAGCAUUUGUCAAGGAUGUUUUCAUUAG